GAUGAACGCUGGCGGCGUGCCUAAUACAUGCAAGUCGAGCGAACAGACGAGGAGCUUGCUCCUCUGACGUUAGCGGCGGACGGGUGAGUAACACGUGGAUAACCUAUCUAUAGGACUGGGAUAACUUCGGGAAACCGGAGCCAAUACCGGAUAAUAUAUUGAACCGCAUGGUUCAAUAAUGAAAGAAGGUUUUGCUGUCACUUAUAGAUGGAUCCGCGCCGCAUUAGCUAGUUGGUAAGGUAACGGCUUACCAAGGCAACGAUGCGUAGGCGACCGGAGAGGGUGAUCGGCCACACUGGAACUGAGACUCGGUCCAGACUCCUACGGGAGGCAGCAGUAGGGACUCUUCCGCAAUGGGCGAAUGCCUAACGGAGCAACGCCGCGUGAGUGAUGAAGGUCUUCGGAUCGUAGAACUCUGUUAUUAGGGAAGAACAAAUGUGUAAGUAACUAUGCACGUCUUGACGGUACCUAAUCAGAAAGCCACGGCUAACUACGUG
rnacentral:rRNA from 1 species